UACUACAAAAACUAAAAUCAGAAAACGAUUGGAAAACGACGAACCAAAAGCGAUCUUAGUUUUUAUUGGAAUUUACGAUUUGAUGGUUUCAUUGUUCAGAAUAGAACGUGAGCCUGAAUAGUGCAGCAGUAGCUAGCUAGUAAGCAAAGAAGCCAUGUCAAUCCUCUAUUUUCUUUUUCUCCCUCAAUCUCAUCUCUUCCACAGCUGAGUGUGGAUGAUGGAAUUAACUCUGCCUUAUUUGCUUCAGCCAUGCUUAAGCUCAUUCCGACUUUUGCUUUUAUAGUAGCUACCAUUUUCAGGUUGAACACUUUUCAUCAAUGGCUUGAGAAAUUUCGUAGUAUGGUGGCAGUGAGACUUGUGUUGUGUGCUUAGCUACCAUAUUGCAUUGCCUAUCUACAACUUCGAGCUGCUUGAGAGAAGAAGAAUUCAUUUAUUUAAUAUUUUAUGAUUUACAUACAUAUAAACAUAGAAAAAAUUAAGUGAGAUUGGUUGGCGCACUUCAAAGUAAUAAUGCCACUGUUAUACUUUGAUCAGCUCAUUGUUGGUUUAGUGCUCUUGGGCUUGCUUUUGCAGUUGUUUACGUAGACAUGAGAAAUUAUUGGCCCUGUUUUGUUAUUUGGCAAGCUUUUAAUCCUUUUACUCUAAUACUGCAUUAUUACUGUAGCUAGUUACUUAAUUCCACAUCAAGUUACUAUCUCCCAUUUCCUUCCUUUAACUUCACAUUUCCACGAGCUUAAUCAACUCGAAUCACCUUGCUGUUUCUUUCAUUUCGAUAUAACCACAUCAUUCAGUUCUGCUCUCACUAAGAAUAACUUUUCAAUCUUUCUAUGAUGACCUAUCAACAUUUCAAGUAAUGAUGAAUCUAUUUGACAGAAUUUUUGCCCAGUUCUAAAAUGUUUUUGUGAGAAUGUCUUAUUGAAGAACGUAAUCAUAAGUAACCCUGAACUCGUUGCUAUACGAGUGGUCCUCUUAAAAGAACUGUUUUUAUUUCUUAGUUGUAUGAAUGCAAUCAGACAUCGAAUUCAUUGAAAAGUAUUGAUCUGCCUUAUACAGCCACCAGUCUGGAUUUUUGCCAGAGAAUACUGGCAUUUUUAGUCUCCUUACUCUGGAUUCAUGGUGUAAACCGAUUCCGUGCCAGAGGAACUAAAUCUUCUCCAUCAUUGAUAAAUUUUCCAGUAAAGAGACCCAUACUCUCCAAGUGGUUCAUUGCCUGCACUUUACACUUCACCUAACUCAUCACCUGAUAUAUGUCUUUGCAAUCCAUUCUUUUACUCUACUUUUAUCCAGUCGAUCUUCCAAAUAUUCUGUUGCCAUUUUCCCCACAUGAUGCUCUGAUACCGUUUGAUAAACUUUCUGAUUGAUUAAACAGCAACUGGAAGCUAAUUGGGUGGAUUACUGAUCAAUUAAACAGAGAUUGGCCACUCUGAAUUGAUUGUGAAAUUGAUAAUGAUGGAUUGAAGAGGAAUUGUAUGUGUGCACCUGUGAGAUUGUAUUGAAAAAGAAGUAAGCAAAGUAUGUAAAUCUAUGAAAUGGAUCUGGAAUUACAAUUUUGGACAAAUAUUCAAGAGAUCUGCCCUCUCUCCCUCACUUUCAAUCUGAUUCUCCAUGAUUGAGAUGAAACAACGCUCCCCCAUUUAUUCUGCCAGUAACAUUCAUUCCAGAAGGCUCCUGUAUUACCUUUGUUCCCUGACUAAUUGGACAACUUCUAACAAGCUAAGACAAACUACUAAAUUGAAAAAUAUUAAUUCGGCUGCACUCCCACCCACUGUCCUUCAUUGCGCUCUUUUCAACAGAAUCAUAUGUGAGUAGUAUCUCUAUCAUAUGUUUCUUUUCCCAUAUCCAUAGAUUGUCAAUUUUGUACUACUCUUUUGUCUAGUGAUUAAAAAACGAGAGAUCCUAUUUAUAAGGUUACAAAUAAUCAUAGAAGGAAAGCUUUAGCUACCUACUGCAAUUCUUCCUAUGAAUACCUACCGAUAUUUUUCAAAUAAAGACUUGGCAUAAUUUAUCCUAUACAAAGAAAAGAAACAAGUUAACAAUAGAACAAGAAAAAUCCUUAAGAUGCCUGAAGACCAUAUCUGCUAAUUGUCAUAUAAACUGCCUUAUGUCUUUUACUUCGAUCAUCGUAAGGUAAACAAACAUGUGCAUCGUACUAAAAAAUAAGUUAAAAAUGUAAAUUACAAAUCCUGAAUAAAUCUUUUAUAGGGUGGUGAUUUUAGAUGGAGGGCAGCAUGCUAAGUGCUCAGUUCAUUUGCCACUACUUUCAUGUCACUAUAAUUUCUAACUUGGCCCUUUCUUGAAUUCAACUAGGCAAAGCAUGUUUGCCUAAGCUUAAAAGUUGCUUUUAAAUGGUUCUUUAUUCCCCAGAUACGCUCGAGGUUUUUCAGUGUUAUCUUUUUUUGGAUCUCACGUAUAGACUCUUGCUUUUGUAGACAGUAAGUCUUUACUCAUUAAUUUCUCCAUUUUUUUAGUGGUAAUCUAGAAUUUUCCUUUGAAGUGAUGCAUACCAUACUGAAUGUUCAUCAUUACAUGCUCUAUUGAACUGAGGCUCAAGUGUUCAUUGCAGUGUUGAUAUUUGAUGAACAUUGACAUAAAAAUAAUAAUAAGAUGUGAUGAUGGGAUAUUGCUAGAUUAUCAGAAUGGCUUGCUGAAUUUUCAAACUGUAUUUUUGAUUACGAACUAAAAAAUGCUAUGAAUAAAAUUACAAGAAGAGAUCAUUAGGUUCAUCUCAGGGAAUGAAUUAGCAGCCUUUGGUUAAGACUUUUAGAUGAACAUAAAUACUCUCCACGUUGAAUUGUCUCAUAGAGUGGCAUUAUUGCUAUAUUUUUGUUGUGAAGGAAAAAUAGUUUCUUAUUGAGUCAAGGACAACCAAUAUGGAUAUCAAAAACAAAUUGAUAGAAGCGUUGACAAUGGUAUUGAAAUUAAAAGGUUCUGACUAUACAAUGAGACCGACAUUCCUUUUAAUUCUUUUGGUAUUUUAUAAAUAGUUGUGUUGACAUAAUGUACCAUAUAAAUAUUCCAAUCUCACUCAGCCUGAACAUUUUACAUAUAAUAUAACAAACAGAAAACAAAAGUAGAUUAAUCAAACAGAAACACCAAGGGGUGUUUUCGGAGGAGAAAGAUUCGUUGUGUCUUCUAGUCUGUUUCAAAACAGCAUACAUUUCAUCCCACUUUUUGUAAAGGUCAACAUUCUUCAUUCAUGACAGCUAGCGCAAGAAAGUUUGACGCCUCUUUUUAUGAAGAGACACUUUUCAUAGUAUCAUCUUGUCCUUGUAUAUUAAUGAAAUGUAUAUUGAUGUAUUUACAUACGGGUUGUGAUACUUGAACAGGGGCGCCACUAUAGGUGGGGAGUCAAGUGGUGCCAAUGUGGCCCUGUUCAAGAAGAAAAAUUCAACGUACAUCCAUACGUCUAUCGCCCCGCCCAGCCCAGCCCAUAUACACGAAGACACAUGGACAAACUCACAAACUACAUUAACAGCAGGCAAUAAUGUUUGUAGAUAGGGAUAUUUAGUGCAUAUAUGGGUAGAAGAAGUCAAUACAGGCUGUGUGAUAAGUAGCAUAAUGGGAAGUUUAUGAACAUGGGAGCACACCCAUUUUGAAAAGUUCAGUUUGUACAGUUGGGGAUUCUUAUCAUAUUGGGGAAUACCAUUGCCAAGCAUGUUGGGAAGUGUAUAUAUAGAACUGUUUAAAUUAUAAAUAGAUAGAAAUGAGUAGUGAAUGAAUGAGUAGUAUUUAUGAAUCACACGAAACCCGUAGAUAAAAAGCAAUUUUUCCAAUUAUAAAUAGUUUAUAAACAUUAGACUAACAUAGGACCUUUGGACAUAAGCUACUUUCUGUGCUGAUUAUGUAGGAAGAUGUCCUCAUAUGUCAGUUGCCAAUGUU